rnacentral:rRNA from 1 species
AUUAAAAUUGUUGCAGUUAAAAAGCUCGUAGUUGAAUUUCUGCUGCUCCGCAUUUUCCCUUUGAGGGGUUUUUGCGCUGUGGCUUAUUUCGGACUGUGUUUUGCACUGUCCGGAUGUUUACUUUGAGAAAAUUAGAGUGCUCAAAGCAGGCUUUUGCCUUGAAUAGUUUAGCAUGGAAUAAUAAAGUAGGACUUUGGUUCUAUUUUGUUGGUUUUAGGUACCAAAGUAAUGGUUAAUAGGAACAGUUGGGGGCAUUCGUAUUUAACUGUCAGAGGUGAAAUUCUUAGAUUUGUUAAAGACGAACUACUGCGAAAGCAUUUGCCAAGGAUGUUUUCAUUAAUCAAGAACGAAAGUUAGGGGAUCGAAGACGAUCAGAUACCGUCGUAGUCCUAACCAUAAACUAUGCCGACUAGAGAUUGGAGGUCGUCAGUUUU